rnacentral:rRNA from 1 species
UAGUCUGCAACCCGACUACACGAAGCUGGAAUCGCUAGUAAUCGCGAAUCAGAAUGUCGCGGUGAAUACGUUCCCGGGCCUUGUACACACCGCCCGUCACACCAUGGGAGUCGGGAAUGCCCGAAGUCAGUGACCCAACCAUAUGGAGGGAGCUGCCGAAGGCAGGUCUGAUAACUGGGGUGAAGUCGUAACAAGGUAGC